CUUGUCUCAAAGAUUAAGCCAUGCAUGUCUAAGUAUAAGCAAUUAUACAGCGAAACUGCGAAUGGCUCAUUAUAUAAGUUAUCGUUUAUUUGAUAGUACCUUACUACUUGGAUAACCGUGGUAAUUCUAGAGCUAAUACAUGCUAAAAAUCCCGACUUCGGAAGGGAUGUAUUUAUUAGAUUAAAAACCAAUGCCCUCUGGGCUCUCUGGUGAUUCAUGAUAACUUCUCGAAUCGCAUGGCCUUGCGCCGGCGAUGGUUCAUUCAAAUUUCUUCCCUAUCAACUUUCGAUGUUUGGGUAGUGGCCAAACAUGGUUGCAACGGGUAACGGAGGGUUAGGGCUCGACCCCGGAGAAGGAGCCUGAGAAACGGCUACUACAUCCAAGGAAGGCAGCAGGCGCGCAAAUUACCCAAUCCCGAUUCGGGGAGGUAGUGACAAUAAAUACUGAUACAGGGCUCUUUUGGGUCUUGUAAUUGGAAUGAGUACAAUUUAAAUCCCUUAACGAGGAACAAUUGGAGGGCAAGUCUGGUGCCAGCAGCCGCGGUAAUUCCAGCUCCAAUAGCGUAUAUUAAAGUUGUUGUGGUUAAAAAGCUCGUAGUUGAACCUUGGGCCUGGCUGGCCGGUCCGCCUCACCGCGUGUACUGGUCCGGCCGGGCCUUUCCCUCUGUGGAACCCCAUGCCCUUCACUGGGUGUGGCGGGGAAACAGGACUUUUACUUUGAAAAAAUUAGAGUGCUCCAGGCAGGCCUAUGCUCGAAUACAUUAGCAUGGAAUAAUAAAAUAGGACGUGCGGUUCUAUUUUGUUGGUUUCUAGGACCGCCGUAAUGAUUAAUAGGGACAGUCGGGGGCAUCAGUAUUCAAUUGUCAGAGGUGAAAUUCUUGGAUUUAUUGAAGACUAACUACUGCGAAAGCAUUUGCCAAGGAUGUUUUCAUUAAUCAGGAACGAAAGUUAGGGGAUCGAAGACGAUCAGAUACCGUCGUAGUCUUAACCAUAAACUAUGCCGACUAGGGAUCGGACGAUGUUAUUUUUUGACUCGUUCGGCACCUUACGAGAAAUCAAAGUGCUUGGGCUCCAGGGGGAGUAUGGUCGCAAGGCUGAAACUUAAAGG
rnacentral:rRNA from 1 species